UCCAUUUUUCAUUCGGAGAAAAAGAAUGGACCAACUAGAGUCUCUCGGCGUAAUUGUGUCGAUAUCUACCUGCUGUUGAUUCGGCGUAGUGUUAGCAAAUUGAUUUAUGUGUUGAUAUCAUUUGCAUGGGCCUAGCUGAGCUAAAAAGUAAAGAAGGGGGACGUUACAAAAGUACUCGAACCAUUCCCAGGUUACUUUCACAAUGAUUAUUUGUCCAGAUUUGGUUGGCUGCCUAUAUAGACUUGCACUGCUUUAUGAAUGACAUCGCUCGUAUCGAAAUUAAAUGUCAGUUCCAUUGUUCGCUAAUGCUUUUGCACAAUCUAGAUUGAAUUAGACUUUGUUUGAUUUCUUACUGGAUACUUAUUUAUGGAAUAUAUUUCAUGUAUGUGGGAAUAAAGUUGUGUAUUAGGUUUGGUUAUGAGAAGAUUGCAAAUGCGUGUUACUUAGUUGUAUUAAUUUCACUUUAUUUGCAAACGAAAAUGUUCGGGGAAAAAUGGUCUUGAAAAACUUUGUGGCUCCAACAUUCUGAUAUAUACACAACACUUGCUGAUUCUAUCAGCUUAAUAGUCGAGAUUGUAUUCUCAUUUCUGAGUGGAUCUAUUCGAGUUGGACCUUGUUUUGUCACUAGAUACUAGGACAAGUAUAUGAUAAUAGUUUUAGAGUACCGUCUAGAUACAUCAUUGCUGUAGUUUCAAUGCAGUCGAUAGAUUUAUUACGGCUGUAGCUUACGUCUAAAGGCUAGAUAAUAUUGCAAUAACAUGCCAGUAGUCUUUAGAUAAUGUCGCAUUGUGCAAACAUGAUACCAAAUCGUAGACUGGACAUCUGCAGGAUAAGCGCUUUCUCUGGACUACUGGUCCUUUUAGUUGCGUCCGUUCAUUAUAUUUAUAAAGAAACUAUCCGAGUUGGCAGCGCUGUACAUGAAGCCCAUCCAGUGGUCACUGAGCACCUGCCAUGGAGCCAAGUGGACAGAGAGCAGGCCGAUGGAAGGUUCGCUCUAAGCAUCAAUAGAAAGCCCCCUGACCACCAGAUCCUGGCUCCUUACAGACAGUGGAGGGGCGAGAACCUAACUGAAGUCAGUAUUUUAGAAAUGCUGUCAUACAAGAAUAGAGCAACGAGGCCGUAAAUCUUGGGGUUACUUUAUAUUUGGUUUAGAUACUCUGGUGUUUACAAAAUAUAUCGGUUUCAUUGAAAUGUUAAGUUAUUAUGAGCAUAACUCAAUAUUGUGGCAUAAACACCUUGAAUGGCUGUGAUAAACCGCACACUAUUUUUCCUUGGCACAGUCUGCAAAAGAGCUCACAGCUCAGCAGCAAUAAAGCUGGCUAGAAGAAGAAGAAGAAGAAGAAGAAGUAGAAGGCCCUUUGUACUAGCUAUACGCCUUGGAGACUUUUGGGACCUAGAGAGCAUCUACGACUAAUGGCUGGCACAGGGAUCAAAACUCCAUGUAACCAACCAGCGGCAGACAACUGUUAUGUGUGCACUGGACCAUCCUGGAUGUGGGAGAAUAGACCACACCUAGGACUACGUUGUCACGAGAAAAACUGCAUUCAUCUGCAAUUCUCAGGUUCGCUGACAUAUUAGGUGUACCAACAAACUACUGAGUCAAAAACAAAUACAAAAUAACAACUGUUCUGCUUUUGUCGGAACAGUCUGUCGCUAGUGCCAUUGAAAUAGAUGCCAGGUACAAGUGAAUCGGAUCUAAAGCACUACAGUGACAUUUUUAAAAAAUGAUUUUUAGACUAUCUAUGUAUUAACUUAGAAUUAACUAUUUCAGAAUUACUAAUGUAUAAAAUAGCUACAAACACUGUAGCGUUGGUUACAGGGCAGCCCUAAUGGUUUGUAGUUUUGACACUGCUUGCUUUGAAUAGUCUACAUGAUAACGUCUUUAUACAAUACACCUGCUCUACUAUUGGAAAACUUGAAAGCUAACCAUAAAGUGAAAACUUCUAAGCAUUUAUUACAUUUUUUGACCUUUAAAAACUACAUUGUUUGUAUAUUAUUUUUAGGUCAUAGAUAACGUGCUGUCCUUGACUCCUUCCAUCUGCACAUUCAUUAUGCAGUACUAGACUGAAGACAUUUGAAGACUUAUGUGUUGCAAACGCGAAUAACUGUAUAAUAUAUGUUUCUAGCGUGAAUAAGUGUAUAAUAUAUGUUUCUAACGUGAAUAAGUGCAUAAUAUAUGUUUCUAACGUGAAUAAGUGCAUAAUAUAUGUUUCUAACUUGAAUAAGUGCAUAAUAUAUGUUUCUAACGUGAAUAAGUGCAUAAUAUAUGUUUCUAACGUGAAUAAGUGCAUAAUAUAUGUUUCUAACGUGAAUAAGUGCAUAAUAUAUGUUUCUAACGUGAAUAAGUGCAUAAUAUAUGUUUCUGACGUGAAUAAGUGCAUAAUAUAUGUUCCAAACGUGAACAAGUGUAUAAUAUAUGUGUUCCAUACGUGAAUAAGCGAACAAUAUAUGUGUUCCAUACGUGAAUAAGCGAACAAUAUAUGUGUUGCAUACGUGAAUAAGCGUACAAGAUAUGUGUUGCAUACGUGAAUAAGCGUACAAUAUAUGUGUUGCAUACGUGAAUAAGCGUACAAUAUAUGUGUUCCAUACGUGAAUAAGCGUACAAUAUAUGUGUUCCAUACGUGAAUAAGCGUACAAUAUAUGUGUUGCAUACGUGAAUAAGCGUACGAUAUCAAAGUCUCACCUACAGUAAACGUACAGUGCCAUCUGAUCCAAACUCAAAGCCACGUAAAGGAAAUGUCCUGGAGUGUCCUCGUGUGUCAUGAUAGUUUUCCAGUGUACGCCAUUGCUUGAUGAACAAACCUAGCACUACAGCUAAUGAUCUAAACAUACGUUUGUGUAUGCCAAUUCUCUAAAUCUCAGCCUGUGUUCCUGUCUUGACCAACUGCUAGGUAUCUAUUUCAAAAUCUCGGCACCAUGUUUGUCUUGGCCGUGACCUCUUCCUAGUUCCUUUCGGGAUGCCAACAGAAGGGGCUUCUUGUGAUGUUGAAUGCAGGCUGUAGAGGGGGGCGGACUAUCCAUCGCCAGUGUCUCUGAAGGUUAUCAACUUCAAUUGGCCGCUGCUUUGUUCGUUGCUAUGGUUCCGCUUUAGUUAUCUUGUCUAACCAGUGGAUUACAAUAAUCUAUGUGUAGUUGAUAGCUUAAAGAAAUUCUGUAGUGAAUCCUGAAUAUCUGAAUACACUUUUAGUGUAUGUGACAAUGAUCUGAUUCACUUUUAGUGCAUGUGACUAUGAUCUGAUUCCGUGACUAUAAUCUGAUCCAGUUUUUAAUGUAUGUGACUAUAUUCUGAUUCACUUUUAGUGUAUGUGACUAUAUUCUGAUUCACUUUUAGUGUAUGUGACUAUAUUCUGAUUCACUUUUAGUGUAUGUGACUAUGAUCUGAUUCCGUGACUAUAAUCUGAUCCAGUUUUAAAUGUAUGUGACUAUAUUCUGAUUCACUUUUAGUGUAUGUGACUAUAUUCUGAUUCACUUUUAGUGUAUGUGACUAUAAUCUGAUCCAGUUUUUAAUGUAUGUGACUAUAUUCUGAUUCACUUUUAGUGUAUGUGACUAUAUUCUGAUUCACUUUUAGUGUAUGUGACUAUAUUCUGAUUCACUUUUAGUGUAUGUGACUAUGAUCUGAUUCCGUGACUAUAAUCUGAUCCAGUUUUAAAUGUAUGUGACUAUAUUCUGAUUCACUUUUAGUGUAUGUGACUAUAAUCUGAUUCACUUUUAGUGUAUGUGACUAUAUUCUGAUUCACUUUUAGUGUAUGUGACUAUAAUCUGAUCCAGUUUUAAUGUAUGUGACUAUGAUCUGAUUCACUUUUAGUGUAUGUGACUAUGAUCUGAUUCACUUUUAGUGUAUGUGACUAUAAUCUGAUCCAGUUUUAAUGUAUGUGACUAUAAUCUGAUCCAGUUUUAAUGUAUGUGACUAUAUUCUGAUUCACUUUUAGUGUAUGUGACUAUAAUCUGAUCCAGUUUUAAUGUAUGUGACUAUAUUCUGAUUCACUUUUAGUGUAUGUGACUAUGAUCUGAUUCACUUUUAGUGUAUGUGACUAUAAUCUGAUCCAGUUUUAAUGUAUGUGACUAUAAUCUGAUCCAGUUUUAAUGUAUGUGACUAUAUUCUGAUUCACUUUUAGUGUAUGUGACUAUAAUCUGAUCCAGUUUUAAUGUAUGUGACUAUAUUCUGAUUCACUUUUAGUGUAUGUGACUAUGAUCUGAUUCACUUUUAGUGUAUGUGACUAUAAUCUGAUCCAGUUUUAAUGUAUGUGACUAUAAUCUGAUCCAGUUUUAAUGUAUGUGACUAUAUUCUGAUUCACUUUUAGUGUAUGUGACUAUAAUCUGAUCCAGUUUUAAUGUAUGUGACUAUGAUCUGAUUCACUUUUAGUGUAUGUGACUAUGAUCUGAUUCACUUUUAGUGUAUGUGACUAUGAUCUGAUUCACUUUUAGUGUAUGUGACUAUGAUCUGAUUCACUUUUAGUGUAUGUGACUAUAAUCUGAUCCAGUUUUAAUGUAUGUGACUAUAAUCUGAUCCAGUUUUAAUGUAUGUGACUAUAAUUUGAUUCACAUUUAGUGUAUGUGACUAUAUUCUGAUUCACUUUUAGUGUAUGUGACUAUAUUCUGAUUCACUUUUAGUGUAUGUGACUAUAAUCUGAUCCAGUUUUAAUGUAUGUGACUAUGAUCUGAUUUACUUUUAGUGUAUGUGACUAUGAUCUGAUUCCGUGACUAUAAUCUGAUCCAGUUUUAAUGUAUGUGACUAUAAUCUGAUUUACUUUUAGUGUAUGUGACUAUGAUCUGAUUCCGUGACUAUAAUCUGAUCCAGUUUUAAUGUAUGUGACUAUAAUUUGAUUCACUUUUAGUGUAUGUGACUAUAUUCUGAUUCACUUUUAGUGUAUGUGACUAUAUUCUGAUUCACUUUUAGUGUAUGUGACUAUAAUCUGAUCCAGUUUUAAUGUAUGUGACUAUGAUCUGAUUUACUUUUAGUGUAUGUGACUAUGAUCUGAUUCCGUGACUAUAAUCUGAUCCAGUUUUAAUGUAUGUGACUAUGAUCUGAUUCACUUUUAGUGUAUGUGACUAUAUUCUGAUUCACUUUUAGUGUAUGCGAAUAUAAAAUGAAGCACGCGGAGUACAUGGAUAUUGUUGUUAUCCGUGAAACAAUGUCUUGAAUAAUUUUUAUGCUUAUAAACUUUACAAGUUAAUUA